AAAAUUUUAGUUUAAAUAAAACAUUUCAUUUACAAUGAAAAAUUCAAAAUAUUGAAAUUUUA
rnacentral:tRNA from 1 species